ensembl:lncRNA
UUUGGGUUUACAACCACUUUUUAAAACACUCAUCAGUCCCGCGUUGCUUUGAAAAAGGCCAGCACAAAAAAGGACAGUGAGCAUGUUGCAAGGCAGUAAAACCUGGUACCUUGUGAGCAGUGAAACCAGACAUCUGAUCUUUUUGAGAAAUGUGCAGUCUAAGCCUACACAGAUAAACUCCCUUGGUUCCUGCUUGAGACCUGGCCAGGCUUCGAGUGGAAUCCAAAAGGAGGAUGACUCCAGAUGUUUCUGCACCUUAAGCUAUAAAGCAGGACUGGUCUGACUGCAAGGGAAACAAUCACUUUAGGGUUGAGGAAGACCACACACAAACCUGGUGGUAGGCCCACUUGGAGACAGGAUCUCAAGACACAAGCAAAUACUGUUCUAUUUUUCAGACUUUUGUGAUUCAUGGAGAAUGUUACUAUUCUUCUGGCUUUAAACAGCAAUACUUCCACUUUUACAAGACCUAACUUGUGUGAUGUUGUGCACCAAAAUAUUUCUAGAAAGUAGUUUUAAAGGAGCAGUGUCCCAGAUGUCAACUUGAAAGCAGCUCUUGAAGCAUUAUGAAAGAACUUUGGAAUCUCCAGAUGAAAAGACCUAGCUCAUUCUACUUCCAGAAACAAGACAUGGCCAUGGUCAAAAGGAUGAAAAUUGCACAGAGGAGAGUGAAAAGUUUGGGGUCCAGAGAGGCUCUCCCCAAGGUACUGGCAGACCUGAUAAUUUCCACAGCUGUUCUUCAUAGAGGAGAAGUGAGAAAAGUGUUAGUGACCAUGGGGACCCAAAGCUCUGUCAAUAAAUAUUCAUUUUCCUAAAACUUAAGCCAAGGACCAGUAAAGCUUCCCCUCAGAGCACUAUCUUAUGCUCAGGAUCAGCAGCUAGCUCAGGAGAAUGUUACUCACUCCACUCCGUUCUUUCCAAAGUUCUUAGUAGCAGACCUGGAGCAAGAUGUACUGUCUUUUCUUUUUCAGUGAAAGCAGACAUGGGGCUCCCGCGUAGCCAAGAUCCUCAUAAAUCCAGACACCUCUUGGUCGAGAGAAUUAAGUUUGAAAUUUCCUUCCUGUGAGUGAGCCCUGGAAAAGAAGUAAAAAUACCCAGGACAAACAAAAGAGAUUGAAGCACCUUUAAUUAUGUUUUUCUUGCCCUUCAUAAUCACCAGACAAAGCAGAGCUCUAUAUAUGCAUGAUUAAUGUGAUAAUUUACCACCUAAUUUACAGCUAAG